AAUGUGGUAGUAUAAAACUUUAAUACAUUUUGUUUACACCAAAAAACUCAUUUUAAAUGUCACAUUU
rnacentral:tRNA from 1 species